rnacentral:rRNA from 1 species
GACGAACGCUGGCGGCGUGCCUAAUACAUGCAAGUAGAACGCUGAAGAGAGGAGCUUGCUCUUCUUGGAUGAGUUGCGAACGGGUGAGUAACGCGUAGGUAACCUGCCUUGUAGCGGGGGAUAACUAUUGGAAACGAUAGCUAAUACCGCAUAACAAUGGAUGACACAUGUCAUUUAUUUGAAAGGGGCAAUUGCUUCACUACAAGAUGGACCUGCGUUGUACUAGCUAGUAGGUGAGGUAAUGGCUCACCUAGGCGACGAUACAUAGCCGACCUGAGAGGGUGAUCGGCCACACUGGGACUGAGACACGGCCCAGACUCCUACGGGAGGCAGCAGUAGGGAAUCUUCGGCAAUGGGGGCAACCCUGACCGAGCAACGCCGCGUGAGUGAAGAAGGUUUUCGGAUCGUAAAGCUCUGUUGUAAGUCAAGAACGGGUGUGAGAGUGGAAAGUUCACACUGUGACGGUAGCUUACCAGAAAGGGACGGCUAACUACGUG